UACGAAGGGUGCAAACGUUGCUCGGAAUUAUUGGGCGUAAAGCGCGUGUAGGCGGCCCGGUAAGUCCGCUGUGAAAGUCGGGGGCUCAACCCUCGGAUGCCGGUGGAUACUGUCGGGCUUGAGUACGGAAGAGGCGAGUGGAAUUCCUGGUGUAGCGGUGAAAUGCGCAGAUAUCAGGAGGAACACCGAUUGCGAAGGCAGCUCGCUGGGACGUUACUGACGCUGAGACGCGAAAGCGUGGGGAGCAAACAGG
rnacentral:rRNA from 1 species